rnacentral:lncRNA from 1 species
GAGCGGGUCGUCCUGGGGAAGAAGGGCUUCCUCUACCGGCGCACCAGCUCUCGCUCUGCCGCAGACACAGCUUCAUGAGCACGGAGCCGCUGUCAGCUGAAGCCAGUCUGAGCUCGGACUCCCAGCGCCUGGGAGAGGGCACGCGGGACGAGGAGCCCUGGGGUCCCAUCGGGAAGGACCCCACGCCCUCCAUGCUGGGCCUCUGCGGCUCCCUGGCCUCCAUUCCCAGCUGCAAGUCCCUGGCGAGCUUCAAAUCCAACGAGUGCCUGGUGAGCGACAGUCCCGAGGGCAGCCCAGCACUGAGCCCCAGCUGAGGAACAGCAUGGGCAGUGCCAGCCCCACCUGCCAGGGGCCAUGGACACCUGCCACCUUUCUUCAACAAGAGUCCCCCAAUCCAGGCUACCCUUCCAGAGAACGCUACCCACCCAGCCAGGGUUCUCUCGGGGAAGAUCUCGUCUGCUCACCUUAGCUUUCUGCCUUGGCAGCACGGGCUGCGGAAGAAAGCACGCUGGGCCAGGAGGCAGGGGUGCCCAAGCCACAGGGAGCCCCUGGGGAAGCCUGCUCCAUUCUUCUGGUGACCUUGGCGCUCCUUCACUCAUCUCCCCUGCCCCCUCAGGAACUGGUGGCCCAGCUUCCACACCCCCACCUCCCAGUCUCUAGCCUCUCCAUCUGUCUGUGUAUGGCCUGGAGUCACUCCUUCCUCAGCCCCCAGGGCAAGAGAGCUCAAAUAAAAACCAGAGGACUGA